rnacentral:rRNA from 1 species
UACGUAGGGGGCGAGCGUUGUCCGGAGUUACUGGGCGUAAAGCGCUUGUAGGCGGUCCACCAAGUUUGGGGUGACAGUUGCCGACUUAAUCGGCAAAGUGCCUCAAAGACUGGCGGACUUGAGGGCCACAGAGGGACAUGGAACUCCAGGUGUAGUGGUGAAAUUCGUAGAUAUCGGGAGGAACACCAGAGGCGAAGGCGACGACCUGGAAGGUGACUGACACUGAGCAGCGAAAGCGUGGGUAGCAAACAGG